rnacentral:rRNA from 1 species
AAUCAAGUGCCUUAAGGGUGUUCGGUGGAUGCCUUGGCGCUGAGAGGCGAUGAAGGACGUGCUACGCUGCGAUAAGCCGUGGGGAGCUGCGAAGAAGCUUUGAUCCGCGGAUUUCCGAAUGGGGAAACCCACCUUCGAUAGCCGGAACUCCAAGACCUUGUGUCUUGGUGUUCGACCAGAAAUGAUCGGGACCAUGACCGCGAGGUUUUGGAUUUCCGGUUAUCAAGAGAAGGUAUGAGACUUCUGAAUACAUAGGAGGUUUCAAGCAAACCCAGGGAACUGAAACAUCUAAGUACCUGGAGGAAAGGACAUCAACAGAGACUCCGUUAGUAGUGGCGAGCGAACGCGGACCAGGCCAGUGAUACAUCAAAGACAAUCGGAACCAGUCAGGAAAGCUGGGCCUCAGAGGGUGAUAGCCCCGUACGAGUAAUGCGAUGAUGUAUCCACGAGUACGGCGGACACCGUGG